CCACCAUGAGGAAGAUCUUUUGCUUCGGGAGAAACAAGGUUGGGCUGCCCUCCGGCCCCUCCAGCAACCAUGGCAAGACCAGGGUGGGCCUGGAAGGCGAGACUGGUGACAGCGCCUUCCGACAGCCAUGGUGCCACAUCCGGGAAAAAGAUCUCAGCAAAAUUCACCAAGCUGCCAGCGCUGGUGACGUAGUGAAAGUGGAGCGGAUCCUUUCACUGAAGAAAAAGGCCUUGGAUGCCAGAGAUAGAAAGAACAGGUUAUAAACUCCAUGGAAGUUCCCUAAUAGUGUCCCAUAACUGACCACUGUCUUGAUACACACUGGGUUCAUAAGAAAGACAUGGCAGGUGGAAGAUGCUUUGGAUGAGCUGAAUGAGGAGUUCUUCCAGCUCUCUUCUCAAGCCCUGGAGCUCCAGAAAGAGGAGGAUGAGCCAGACCCACUGCCCCCAGGUGAAGGAAACACAUUUGUGAUGGCUCCCAGCAUCUCCCCUUGUGAGUGGCAGGAAGCUAAACUUCACCCACUGGAGACGAGUGGCCCAGCCGGAGAGAAGCUGGGAACCUGGGCCCUGAAGAGCCACCAGGCCCUGGAGCUGGAGGUGAGGAGAGUCCACCUGGCUCAGAGGAUUGAAGACCUGGAGUGGGAGCUGUCCCUGCUCCUUCAGGUGGCCAACAGCAGUUUGAGAAUGGGAGGGAGCUGGCCCAGCCGACACAGUGGCCUAAGGGGCACUGAGUCACAUCAGAUGCUGCAUGGUGGCCACCUCUAGGAGGUGCCUUCUCACCAAGAACAUGAACGAGUUCCCCUGGUAGGAAGGAGUGGGCAUCUAGGGCCCGGAGUGUGUGCUGGUUUUACGACGUGCUCCUACAGGGAAACACCUGGACUUCUUUCAGAGCCUGGACCUCGGCUUAUGCUAAAUUCUGCCUUGAACUUUCUGGGGUGAGGGAAAAUAAAUUGGCAUGGGUUG